AACCAUAGAAACCUGCGGAGUACCUGCGGAAGGAUCAUUAAAAAACUUGCCCGAGACAAUUCUCGUCCAAGGGCCCCACACUGUGUGCACUGUUAUCGUUCUUUUGGCAGGGGCUUGGGUUCUUUUUUGAAUCCAACUUCUCUUUCGGCUCCAUCUUCUUUGUUCUCUCCUCGGGGGAAAAAGGGACAGCCGAUCGUAGGGAACCAGUUACCCUGCCAAGUAACACCUAAAACACGCUUU
rnacentral:misc_RNA from 1 species